UACGGGGGGGGCAAGCGUUGUUCGGAAUUACUGGGCGUAAAGGGCUCGUAGGCGGCCGACUAAGUCAGACGUGAAAUCCCUCGGCUCAACCGGGGAACUGCGUCUGAUACUGAUUGGCUUGAGUUCGGGAGAGGUGAGUGGAACUGCGAGUGUAGAGGUGAAAUUCGUAGAUAUUCGCAAGAACACCAGUGGCGAAGGCGGCUCACUGGCCCGAUACUGACGCUGAGGCACGAAAGCGUGGGGAGCAAACAGG
rnacentral:rRNA from 1 species